GGAUUUGUACAGGCCUAACACAUGCAAGUCGAACGGUAACGACGAAGAUGAACCCUUCGGGGCGAUUUUUCGGGCGACGAGUGGCGAACGGGUGAGUAAUACGUAGGAAUCUGCCCAAUAGUGGGGAAUAACCCGGGGAAACUCGGGCUAAUACCGCAUAAGCCCUACGGGGGAAAGCGGGGGACCUUCGGGCCUCGCGCUAAUGGAUGAGCCUACGUCCGAUUAGCUUGUUGGCAGGGUAACGGCCUACCAAGGUUAUGAUCGGUAGCUGGUCUGAGAGGAUGGUCAGCCACACUGGGACUGAGACACGGCCCAGACUCCUACGGGAGGCAGCAGUGGGGAAUAUUGGACAAUGGGCGCAAGCCUGAUCCAGCAAUGCCGCGUGUGUGAAGAAGGCCCGCGGGUCGUAAAGCACUUUCAGCAGGGAAGAAAAUCCCGGAGCGAAUACCUCCGGGCCUUGACGUUACUUGCAGAAGAAUCGCACCGGCUAACUCCGUGCCAGCAGCCGCGGUAAUACGGGGGGUGCAAGCGUUAAUCAGAAUUACUGGGCGUAAAGCGCGCGUAGGCGGCUUGGUAAGUCGGAUGUGAAAUCCCCAAGCUCAACUUGGGAACUGCAUUCGAUACUGCCAAACUAGAGUAUGGUAGAGGGAAGCGGAAUUCCCGGUGUAGCGGUGAAAUGCAUAGAUAUCGGGAGGAACACCAGUGGCGAAGGCGGCUUCCUGGAUCAAUACUGACGCUGAGGCGCGAGAGCGUGGGGUAGCAAACAGGAUUAGAUACCCUGGUAGUCCACGCCCUAAACGAUGAAAACUAGCCGUUGGGGGAGCUUGAUCCUUUAGUGGCGCAGCUAACGCGAUAAGUUUUCCGCCUG
rnacentral:rRNA from 1 species